rnacentral:misc_RNA from 1 species
UUCCGCUCUUGCCCAAAUCUCGGACCCUAAAACUCAGGCUAGGAGCCUAGCACAGAUCGACUUCCACACAAACAGAAACAAAAUAGGAAAAAGGUUAAAAGUGAAGUGUUGCCUCCAACUUAGCCUAGCAAAUCUGUAGAACUAGUGAUAGACUGGUUUGAGGACUCGGCUCUGAGAUAAGCUGUAUUACAGGGGAUGUCUUCCAGGUCCCUCAAAGUAGCAUAAGGGCUAUUCAAUUGCAUG